rnacentral:tRNA from 1 species
GCGUCGGUGGUUCAGCGGUAGAAUACUCGCCUGCCACGCGGGCGACCCGGGUUCGAUUCCCGGCCGACGCA